rnacentral:tRNA from 2 species
GGGCCCGUAGCUCAGCCAGGUAGAGUGCUGGGCUCCAGACCCAGUGGUCGCGGGUUCGAGUCCCGCCGGGCCCA